UUGAUCUCAAAUCAGGUAGGACUACCCGCUGAACUUAAGCAUAUC
rnacentral:rRNA from 1 species